rnacentral:rRNA from 1 species
AUACGUAGGGUGCAAGCGUUAAUCGGAAUUACUGGGCGUAAAGCGUGCGCAGGCGGUUUUGUAAGACAGAAGUGAAAUCCCCGGGCUCCACCUGGGAACUGCCUUUGUGACUGCAAGGCUAGAGUACGGCAGAGGGGGGUGGAAUUCCGCGUGUAGCAGUGAAAUGCGUAGAUAUGCGGAGGAACACCGAUGGCGAAGGCAAUCCCCUGGGCCUGUACUGACGCUCAUGCACGAAAGCGUGGGGAGCAAACAGGAUUAGAUACCCUGGUAGUCCACGCCCUAAACGAUGUCAACUGGUUGUUGGGUCUUCAUUGACUCAGUAACGAAGCUAACGCGUGAAGUUGACCGCCUGGGGAGUACGGCCGCAAGGUUGAAACUCAAAUGAAUUGACGGGG